GGGCGUAAAGGGCUCGUAGGUGGUUGAUCGCGUCGGAAGUGUAAUCUUGGGGCUUAACCCUGAGCGUGCUUUCGAUACGGGUUGACUUGAGGAAGGUAGGGGAGAAUGGAAUUCCUGGUGGAGCGGUGGAAUGCGCAGAUAUCAGGAGGAACACCAGUGGCGAAGGCGGUUCUCUGGGCCUUUCCUGACGCUGAGGAGCGAAAGCGUGGGGAGCGAACAGGCUUAGAUACCCUGGUAGUCCACGCUGUAAACGGUGGGUACUAGGUGUGGGGUCCAUUCCACGGGUUCCGUGCCGUAGCUAACGCUUUAAGUACCCCGCCUGGGGAGUACGGCCGCAAGGCUAAAACUCAAAGGAAUUGACGGGGCCCCGCACAAGCGGCGGAGCAUGCGGAUUAAUUCGAUGCAACGCGUAGAACCUUACCUGGGUUUGACAUGGAUCGGGAGCGCUCAGAGGUGGGUGUGCCUCUUUUGGGGUCGGUUCACAGGUGGUGCAUGGCUGUCGUCAGCUCGUGUCGUGAGAUGUUGGGUUAAGUCCCGCAACGAGCGCAACCCUUGUUCACUGUUGCCAGCACGUUAUGGUGGGGACUCAGUGGAGACCGCCGGGGUCAACUCGGAGGAAGGU
rnacentral:rRNA from 1 species